rnacentral:hammerhead_ribozyme from 1 species
GUCCAGCUGAUGAGUCCCAAAAUAGGAUGAAAUGCGUGUCCUGGAU